UACGAAGGGGGCUAGCGUUGCUCGGAAUCACUGGGCGUAAAGGGCGCGUAGGCGGCCAUUCAAGUCGGGGGUGAAAGCCUGUGGCUCAACCACAGAAUUGCCUUCGAUACUGUUUGGCUUGAGACCGGAAGAGGUUAGUGGAACUGCGAGUGUAGAGGUGAAAUUCGUAGAUAUUAGGAAGAACACCAGUGGCGAAGGCGGCUCACUGGAUCGGUACUGACGCUGAGGUGCGAAAGCGUGGGGAGCAAACAGG
rnacentral:rRNA from 1 species